UACGUAGGUGGCAAGCGUUAUCCGGAAUUAUUGGGCGUAAAGAGCGCGCAGGUGGUUGAUUAAGUCUGAUGUGAAAGCCCACGGCUUAACCGUGGAGGGUCAUUGGAAGCCGGUCGACUUGAGUGCAGAAGAGGGAAGUGGAAUUCCAUGUGUAGCGGUGAAAUGCGUAGAGAUAUGGAGGAACACCAGUGGCGAAGGCGGCUUCCUGGUCUGUAACUGACACUGAGGCGCGAAAGCGUGGGGAGCAAACAGGAUUAGAUACCCCGGUA
rnacentral:rRNA from 1 species